CGGGUGUGUGUGCUGUCGCCCUUGGACGGGACAGCAGGACUGUUCUGCCUUCGGAAAUUGCAACCAAGCAAGCUGUAGCAAAGACGGCGCAAGGGAAAGGAAAGCGAGAGUGUUACUCACGCGGUGAACAAGGAAGUGCUGAAGAACAGUUGCAGAGGUGCGCUGCGAGGACCGAACAGACUCAUCACGACAGCAGAUGUCCCGGAAGAAUGAACUAUGUAGAGCAUCUCCUCAGUUGUUCUCUGGAAUUAUAAAGACGAGGUAAAAGAAAAUCUUGUAACAAACGUAGCUUUUCCAGAAAAAUGAUUAGAAGCUGUUCCCAAAGUUUAAAAUUCUCAGAAGCUGUUACUGUUCCUGUCAAAGGAAACGUGCCUUUCUCCAUCAUGGAGUGGAAUGUUUGAGAUAAAACAACUUAAUCAAAGGAAG
rnacentral:lncRNA from 1 species